UCACAGUGUGGUUGAUGGCUUGAGGACUCUUCCCGGGAAAAGCUUAAUUCAAUUAGGGCUCUCAGCAGCUCCCUGAGGAAGCUCUGGUAUCUUGCUUUUACUUACACAAAUCGAGGGCAGACCAAACAAACCCAGACUUUCCCAGAGAGACCCCACCCAGCCCACAGAGGAUGCCCUUGCAGAUCCUCCAUUAGAGCCAAGUUGGUGGGGGUGGGGGAGAGGCAGCUGCUGUAGCAACACUAACACACACCCGCUGGCUGACGCCUAGAGCAUCGCUGUGUCAAGCUGGUUUCUUGUCUGCCCCAAAGGCUUCACACGGACCCUAUCUCUACAUGGAAGUCAGUCAAGCACUCAUUUGUUCCCCAGAUAUUUAGGAGUCCUUCCUCUGUGCUGGGCACAGAGAAGAAAGUAAACAAAGGCUCUGCCCUCAAGGGGCUUACAUCCUCCUAGGAACCAUGCUAAGAAUAGCUCUCUCUGUCCUGCCUGCUUGCCUAAUCCCUCUCCAUCUUCAAGACUGGCUCAAGUUCCACUUCCUCUGAGAAGCCUUUCCUAGUGACCUGUGCUCUCAGGGACUGCUUGUUCCCUCUGAACUUGGCCUGUGCCAGGCGUCCGCCCAGCCCUCAGUACAGACGGACCAUUUUCUCCAAGCAGACUGGAAGCUCCCAGUGAGCCAGGCCCGGGUCUCACUCGUCUCGGUCCCCGUGCGCUACAAGCUCAGAGCCUGCUGGUCAGUUUCAGCUAACCUGCCUCUUCGACUCCAGCUUGAACAGACGAAUUAGUUGGCCACUCUCAGUCCUGGCUGGCCAGCCCAAAGCCACAGCCUCUGUGAGUCUGCCUGGCACACAGCAUGUGCUAUGUAAGUGUUAGCUACUUAUUAUUUUGGUGAGCUUACAGACUCUGACUGACACACGGGCACCUCUCUGAUGUCACCUCUCUGCCUUCAGUGGCCUGGUCUCAGACAGGCUGAGCACUGUGGAAGGGCUGGACUGGACUUAGGGAGGCCCUACAACACAACAAAGGAGAGGAAAGGCCCUCCGUUUCAGAAGUUUGCUGCUCCAUAAACUAUGAGGAUGACAGACCCAUAGGCUGAGUCAGCCUUCACACUCUCGCACUUCCUUCACACAAACGCAGGUCCAGCCACUUGGGAGAUGACAGAAGAGCCUAGAAGAGCCAUCAGAGAAAGAGAAGGGCCCUGUGUCUCCUGGAAGCAGAUGAAAGGAGAACAUCAGCUGUAAUGAAAAUAAACCAAAGAGAGGAAAAGCA